UUAGUAGAUGAUUUAUUUAUUUUAUUAGUGGGUAUAGCACUGAAUAUCUAAUAUAAAUUAGAAGGGAGUAUGAAAGUACUUACUUUGGAUAUUUAAUCUCAGAAUAACUAAUAUAAUAAGAUGAGUUAUCAGACUUUUUGCGAUAAGGUGA
rnacentral:rRNA from 1 species